GGAAUAUUGGACAAUGGGCGCAAGCCUGAUCCAGCCAUGCCGCGUGUGUGAAGAAGGCCUUCGGGUUGUAAAGCACGUUUGUCCGGAAAGAAAUCCUGUCGGUUAAUACCCGGGUGAGAUGACUGUACCGGAAGAAUAAACACCGUCUAACGUCGUGCCAGCAGCCGCGGUAAUACGAAGGGUGCAAGCGUUACUCGGAAUUACUGGGCGUAAAGCGUGCGUAGGUGGUGAGUUAAGUCUGUCGUGAAAGCCCCGGGCUCAACCUGGGAAUGGCGAUGGAUACUGGCUCGCUAGAGUGCGGUAGAGGAGAGUGGAAUUCCCGGUGUAGCAGUGAAAUGCGUAGAGAUCGGGAGGAACAUCAGUUGCGAAGGCGGCUCUCUGGACCAGCACUGACACUGAGGCACGAAAGCGUGGGGAGCAAA
rnacentral:rRNA from 1 species